UUUCCGUAGGUGAACCUGCGGAAGGAUCAUUAACACUAAUCCAAACCACCUAAACCAAGCCUUCAGAUGCAGCCCCGGCGCAGGUGCGCCCUCGGCGCGCAUGUUGCUGUCGCUGCAUCUUCCAAACGUAACCACACAAAGGCGCCUAACUAAGCUCAACAACCUAAACCAAAUUCUCAACGAUGGAUAUCUAGGUUCCC
rnacentral:misc_RNA from 1 species